AUUGAACGCUGGCGGCAGGCCUAACACAUGCAAGUCGAGCGGAUGAAGGGAGCUUGCUCCUGGAUUCAGCAGCGGACGGGUGAGUAAUGCCUAGGAAUCUGCCUGGUAGUGGGGGAUAACGUCCGGAAACGGGCGCUAAUACCGCAUACGUCCUGAGGGAGAAAGUGGGGGAUCUUCGGACCUCACGCUAUCAGAUGAGCCUAGGUCGGAUUAGCUAGUUGGUGGGGUAAAGGCCUACCAAGGCGACGAUCCGUAACUGGUCUGAGAGGAUGAUCAGUCACACUGGAACUGAGACACGGUCCAGACUCCUACGGGAGGCAGCAGUGGGGAAUAUUGGACAAUGGGCGAAAGCCUGAUCCAGCCAUGCCGCGUGUGUGAAGAAGGUCUUCGGAUUGUAAAGCACUUUAAGUUGGGAGGAAGGGCAGUAAGUUAAGACCUUGCUGUUUUGACGUUACCAACAGAAUAAGCACCGGCGAAAUUCGU
rnacentral:rRNA from 1 species